AUACGGAGGAUCCGAGCGUUAUCCGGAUUUAUUGGGUUUAAAGGGUGCGCAGGCGGCCAUUUAAGUCAGCGGUUAAAUCGUGGGGCUCAACCCCAUUCUGCCGUUGAUACUGGGUGGCUUGAUUGCGGUCGAGGUUGGCGGAAUUCGUUGUGUAGCGGUGAAAUGCAUAGAUAUGACGAAGAACACCGAGUGCGUAGGCAGCUGACCAGAACGCAAAUGACGCGCAUGCACGAAAGUGCGGGGAUCGAACAGGAUUAGAUACCCUGGUAGUCCGCACAGUAAACGAUGAAUACUUGUUUUCGGCGAUAUAAUGUCGGAGGGAAAGCGAAAGCGAUAAGUAUUCCACCUGGGGAGUACGCCGGCAACGGUGAAACUCAAAGGAAUUGACGGGG
rnacentral:rRNA from 1 species